CAGCCGAGUUGAAUGGAACAUUCCAUCUUUCACCGAAUGAAAAUAUUCUUACCAUUGCACGAAAAACAUUCAUUAUUUGUUUUAUAUAAUACCAAAAUAGACUAAUAGAUUCGUAUGAGAAGCAUUUUGAGGGAUGCGAUUUAUCGAAAACACAAAGAGUGCAAUUGUACUAUACGUUUUAUUCCAUUGCACUCGCAGAGAGUGCAAUGGAACGUAUUCCAUUGCACUCUUGGGAAAUGGAAUUUUCUAUUCAAUACCACGUGAUCAUAAACAGCCAAUUAAACGAUCAGAAUUCAGUAAGGUAUUAUAUAAAUUUGAAUAUUGUACACAGUUUUGAAUAUUGUGCAAAGAACUAUUGUAAAUACUAACAAAGUGACAUACAACAGAUUCAUAUGUACGUUGUUCAUAAAAUCUAUAAAUUAUAUCAAUAGUGGUUUAAUAUGUCUAAUCAACAGAUAAUAUAACAUUAAAAAGAAUCCAAACAAUUAGGCUGAAAUUUGGAUCUAUUUGAGUAAUUAAUGUUUGGCCACCAUACUGAGGUACCUAAUAUCAUUUAACGUUUCUGAUGUUACUCCUAGUGUAUAUCCACACCGGGCAAGCUUGAAAAGUAUGCCUGGUCACGGACAAAGCUUGAAAAAUAUGCCUGGUCAAUUUACUUGAUUCUGAUUGGUUAAAAACCGUGCCUAUUACCUAAAAUCGCAGCAAAAAUUGCAAGUGUAAACGGGCCUUAUAUGGCUACCAAAAAUCAAAUGCCAAAAUCUUGCAAUCAAAUUGGUCUUCUCUUUUCGAUGGUGCUUUUGAUAUUGACAUUGUUUAUAAUACUUGGUUUGCCCAUUUUCGCACAAUUAUUGAGAAGCAUAUUCCGUUAAAAAUUGUCACCAUAAGGCCAAGGGAUAAACCUUGGAUGACUGGUGCGGUUCGUCGUGCAAUACGUAAACGUAACCGACAACUUCGAACUCAUAAUAAUAGACCAAAUGAGUACUCAUGGGAAAAUUACCGUAGACAACGUAAUUUAACAACACAAUUGAUUAGAUCUGCUAAAC